CUUGACAGUUUUAUGAGAUCGCUGUCUCCUUCGUAAGCUUCUUGAUGGAAUCCGCAUCUCCUUCGAAAAUGGAAGACCUGUGCUAUGUUUGAAAUCAAUGUGCGCGAUAUUCAAGAUUAAGGUUGACAUUGGGACUCACCGUCGUGCUCUCCUCCGUCCGGUGCUUUGUCGCGGUGAACUGAAGAUGAUGCAAGGUCCUCUUGGACAUCCUCUCCUGAGUCAACAGGCUCAGCUGAAACCUCCAUAUCUUCUCACUUUGGUGGAAUGAGCUAUCCUUCACUAUUCAGUUCACGACUUUCCUAUGGUGUCACCCAAACUUCGGUAAGAGAUGGGCAAUAAAAGUUUCUUAUGAGACACGAAAUUUUGAACUGGAAGUUUUAUUUUUCAUGAAAAAAGAAACUAGUAUUAAGGGGCCAUAUUUGACCCACUAACUAUUUUGUAUACUUUGAUAUCAAAGACAUCCAUUACUUCCUGAACUAAGAUCAGGUAUUUUUAUUA